GAUGAACGCUGGCGGCGUGCCUAAUACAUGCAAGUCGAGCGAACGGACGAGAAGCUUGCUUCUCUGAUGUUAGCGGCGGACGGGUGAGUAACACGUGGAUAACCUACCUAUAAGACUGGGAUAACUUCGGGAAACCGGAGCUAAUACCGGAUAAUAUUUUGAACCGCAUGGUUCAAAAGUGAAAGACGGUCUUGCUGUCACUUAUAGAUGGAUCCGCGCUGCAUUAGCUAGUUGGUAAGGUAACGGCUUACCAAGGCAACGAUGCAUAGCCGACCUGAGAGGGUGAUCGGCCACACUGGAACUGAGACACGGUCCAGACUCCUACGGGAGGCAGCAGUAGGGAAUCUUCCGCAAAGGGCGAAAGCCUGACGGAGCAACGCCGCGUGAGUGAUGAAGGUCUUCGGAUCGUAAAACUCUGUUAUUAGGGAAGAACAUUUGUGUAAGUAACUGUGCACAUCUUGACGGUACCUAAUCAGAAAGCCACGGCUAACUACGUG
rnacentral:rRNA from 1 species